CCCCUCUCAGGGUCGCACCUGGAGAGUUUUCAGUACUCUACCAGUCUCAGCUACAGGAGGGAGAGUCAAGCAGAGACCUACCCAUUCCAUUCCUAGCUUGGGCAGUGGCUAGCGAGUGGAAGGCAAUCUGCUAUAAGU
rnacentral:snoRNA from 1 species